CUCCUUACCAAACUGCAACUAAAAGUCAGUCUUUUGCUCUACCUAUGAUUAUCGUUUCUGAUUUCUGCAAUUCACAGUUUCUCUGUAUUUAUCACUCAUCCAUUCACAUUCAUUCAAUUACGAUAUUGACUCCAAUCUUCAUAAGGAUGCUAUCCUUUCACCUCCCUUCGUUCUCCUCUUAUAUAAACCCUUCAUUGAAGCUCACAUUCAACCAUAUUCUACAACCUCUGUUCAACUAUAUUAAUCCAUGGCCAUGAAAUCGGUUCAGAACUCUGGCAAGUCUCGAGUCGGAGCAAACGAAGCGCUGAACGAGAUUAGGGAAAGAAUAUCAGACUAUAAAUCUGAGAAUAUGAAACAUGACGAAAACAUAUUGAAUGUAUUUGUAUUUUAUUCUUGGAUCUGAUAUGAUUUAUUGUGCCUCUUCAUUAGCAGAUAUUUGGCAGAUAACAAAGCCAUCGAGCUGGAUCCUACACAUAGCCAAGGCCGUCUCUAUAUGGCGUUAUGUUAACGGAAUCUCAAGUUUGAUGAAUAGUUCAAGCUGAUGUCAUGGCUGGACUUAAGGGCAAGUUGGAACGACUCUUAUAGCUCUUGGAGUAGGUGCUAGGGCGAACACUCCGCUAAGAGGAACCAAGAAGCUACUGUGUACCCCAAGGUUUUCCUCCUUUCUCUCUGGCACCAACUUUAGGUUUCAGAUUAAUUCGGAAGAUUUUGAGUGUGUUUCUCAGUUUCUCUUCUCUGUUAAUGAUGUCUAUCUGGAGAAUUGCUUUGGAAAUUAAUAAUACGUGCAGGUCAUGCUGGUAAGUUGGUCGCUUUGGUUCAUAUGAAUAAUCUUCACUCAGUAAUGUAUAUGUUCCCAAAGAGAGGGUGACAAUCUUCAUCAAAGUUAUGGAAUCAUUGAGUUCCUUAGUGAGGAAGACGCUGACUAUACAAUUAAGGUUCUUAACAUGAUUAAGCUCCAUGGAAAGUCUAUACGUGUUAACAAGUAGGCGUCUCAAGAUAAGAAGAUCAUCGAUGUUGGUGCUAACCUUUGGAAACAGUUGAAACCAUGGUUGAUGUUUACGCUUCUGCCAAAUGAUGUACAUUAGAAGAUCUUCAUAAGAGAAAUAGAACAAAAUGGGUGUGGAUUCUGAGCUCUACGAAUCGGAAUCGGGUUGUUCGUGAUAAGUCUGAAAUCAACAAGAAGCGUAGAGACAGCUGUCGGAGUUGGUCAUGUUAAUUUAUUUUGAUGCCAAGGCCAAUAGUUGCGUAUUUUAACAGAGGUCAGCAAGUGAUCACUCG